AUUGAACGCUGGCGGCAGGCCUAACACAUGCAAGUCGAGCGGAUGAGGGGAGCUUGCUCCCUGAUUUAGCGGCGGACGGGUGAGUAAUGCGUAGGAAGCUGCCCGAUAGAGGGGGAUACCAGUUGGAAACGACUGUUAAUACCGCAUAAUGUCUACGGACCAAAGUGUGGGACCUUCGGGCCACAUGCUAUCGGAUGCGCCUACGUGGGAUUAGCUAGUUGGUGAGGUAAUGGCUCACCAAGGCGACGAUCUCUAGCUGGUUUGAGAGGAUGAUCAGCCACACUGGAACUUGGACACGGUCCAGAAUCCUACGGGAGGCAGCAGUGGGGAAUAUUGGACAAUGGGCGCAAGCCUGAUCCAGCCAUGCCGCGUGUGUGAAGAAGGCCUUCGGGUUGUAAAGCACUUUCAGCGAGGAGGAAGGGUGGUGUGUUAAUAGCACAUCAUUUUGACGUUACUCGCAGAAGAAGCACCGGCUAACUCUGUGCCAGCCGCCGCAGUAACAC
rnacentral:rRNA from 1 species